rnacentral:rRNA from 1 species
UACAUAGGGAGCAAGCGUUAUCCGGAUUUAUUGGGUUUAAAGGGAGCGUAGGUGGAUUGUUAAGUCAGUUGUGAAAGUUUGCGGCUCAACCGUAAAAUUGCAGUUGAAACUGGCAGUCUUGAGUACAGUAGAGGUGGGCGGAAUUCGUGGUGUAGCGGUGAAAUGCAUAGAUAUCGCGCAGAACUCCGAUUGCGAAGGCAGCGUACCGGCGCCACACUGACGCUGAGGCACGAAAGCGUGGGUAUCGAACAGG